GGGGAACCUGCGGUUGGAUCACCUCCUUA
rnacentral:ncRNA from 2 species